CGAUAGCGUAUAUUAAAGUUGUUGCAGUUAAAAAGCUCGUAGUUGGAUUUCUGGUGGGAGCGAUCGGUCUGGCGCUUAGCGCGAGUACUUGCAUCGUCUCCGGCCAUCCUUGGGGAGAGUCUGUCUGGCAUUAAGUUGUCGGGCAGAGGAUCCUCAUCGUUUACUGUGAAAAAAUUAGAGUGUUCAAAGCAGGCUUAUGCCGUUGAAUAUAUUAGCAUGGAAUAAUAAGAUAGGACUUUGGUACUAUUUUGUUGGUUUGCGCACCAAAGUAAUGAUUAAUAGGGACAGUUGGGGGUAUUCGUAUUCCGUUGUCAGAGGUGAAAUUCUUGGAUUUACGGAAGACGAACUACUGCGAAAGCAUUUACCAAGGAUGUUUUCAUUAA
rnacentral:rRNA from 1 species